UACAGAGGUCUCAAGCGUUGUUCGGAUUCAUUGGGCGUAAAGGGCGCGUAGGCGGUCGUGACAAGUCACUUGUGAAAUCUCCGGGCUUAACUCGGAACGGUCAACUGAUACUGUGCGACUAGAGUGCAGAAGGGGCAACUGGAAUUCUCGGUGUAGCGGUGAAAUGCGUAGAUAUCGAGAGGAACACCUGCGGCGAAGGCGGGUUGCUGGGCUGACACUGACGCUGAGGCGCGAAAGCCAGGGGAGCGAACGGG
rnacentral:rRNA from 1 species